rnacentral:rRNA from 1 species
AUUGAACGCUGGCGGCAGUCCUAACACAUGCACGUCGAGCGAGCGGCGGACGGGUGAGUAAUGUCGGGGAAACUGCCUGAUGGAGGGGGAUAACUACUGGAUCCGGUAGCUAAUACCGCAUACCAUCAGAUGUGCCCAGAUGUGAUUAGCUAGUCGGUGGGGUAACGGCUCACCUAGGCGCAGAUCCCUAUCUGGUCUGAGAGGAUGACCAGCCACACUGGAACUGAGACACGGUCCAGACUCCUACGGGAGGCAGCAGUGGGGAAUAUUGCACAAUGGGCGCAAGCCUGAGUCAGCCAUGCCGCGUGUGUGAAGAAGGCCUUCGGGUUGUAAAGCACUUUCAGCGGGGAGGCGUUACCCGCAGAAGAAGCACCGGCUAACUCCGUGCCAGCAGCCGCGGUAAUAC